UGGGGAAUUUUGGACAAUGGGCGAAAGCCUGAUCCAGCAAUGCCGCGUGUGUGAAGAAGGCCUUCGGGUUGUAAAGCACUUUUGUCCGGAAAGAAAUCCUCUUGGGUUAAUACCUCGGGGGAUGACGGUACCGGAAGAAUAAGCACCGGCUAACUACGUGCUAGCAGCCGCGGUAAUACGUAGGGUGCAAGCGUUAAUCGGAAUUACUGGGCGUAAAGCGUGCGCAGGCGGUUUUGUAAGACGGAUGUGAAAUCCCCGGGCUUAACCUGGGAACUGCAUUCGUGACUGCAAGGCUAGAGUAUGGCAGAGGGGGGUAGAAUUCCACGUGUAGCAGUGAAAUGCGUAGAGAUGUGGAGGAAUACCGAUGGCGAAGGCAGCCCCCUGGGCCAAUACUGACGCUCAUGCACGAAAAGCGUGGGGAGCAAACAGGAUUAGAUACCCUGGUAGUCCCACGCCCUAAACGAUGUCAACUAGUUGUUGGGGAUUCAUUUCCUUAGUAACGUAGGCUAACGCGUGAAGUUGACCGCCUGGGGAGUACGGUCGCAAGAUUAAAACUCAAAUGAAUUG
rnacentral:rRNA from 1 species